rnacentral:misc_RNA from 1 species
AAAGUCGUAACAAGGUUUCCGUAGGUGAACCUGCGGAAGGAUCAUUAACACGUAUCCAACGUUAAAACCCCCCGUGCAUAUUGACGCUGCUCUCCUCGUCCCUAGAAGCAAUCUCUGGUAAAUCACACACGAAGAUAGUUUGAUUCAGAGACCUCUUCAAUGGCGCGUUUGGAUAGAUGCGGCUUGUAAGUGGACCUGGUUAGAAAUAAACCGAUUAACGGGUCAUUGUUCCAUCACGGGGCAAUGGACAGGUCUCUGGGGCUCCGGCUCCCCUAAAUAUUUAACCCCAGCAUGUGAAUUCAGGGCUCUGCUAACACAGAACCCCUAAAAAACGAACAACUGUUAACAAUGGAUAUCUUGGUUCUC